rnacentral:rRNA from 1 species
GACGAACGCUGGCGGCGUGCUUAACACAUGCAAGUCGAACGGAAAGGCCCUGCUUUUGUGGGGUGCUCGAGUGGCGAACGGGUGAGUAACACGUGAGUAACCUGCCCUUGACUUUGGGAUAACUUCAGGAAACUGGGGCUAAUACCGGAUAGGAGCUCCUGCUGCAUGGUGGGGUUUGUAAAGUUUCGGCGGUUGGGGAUGGACUCGCGGCUUAUCAGCUUGUUGGUGGGGUAGUGGCUUACCAAGGCUUUGACGGGUAGCCGGCCUGAGAGGGUGACCGGCCACAUUGGGACUGAGAUACGGCCCAGACUCCUACGGGAGGCAGCAGUGGGGAAUAUUGCACAAUGGGCGGAAGCCUGAUGCAGCAACGCCGCGUGCGGGAUGACGGCCUUCGGGUUGUAAACCGCUUUCGCCUGUGACGAAGCGUGAGUGACGGUAAUGGGUAAAGAAGCACCGGCUAACUACGUG